AGGGCUCCGGCAUUUCCGGAUUGAAAGGGUGCCGAGCCUAAGUCGCGUUGUCCCCCCUCGUUGGCCGCUGGAGCGCUGGAAUUUCCAAACUGAAGCAACGAGGGGCGCGGCGGUCGGGCGAGCUCAGGGGGGGCUGCUCCCGGUGCGACAGGUUCGGUCCCCGGGCCGGGCUCACCGCGGUGCUGCGGUUCCGCUGCUCUAAGCGCUCUACGGAAUACCGCCAACUACCCUGGACGGUAGGGACUGUUAUUGUGCCCAUUCCACAGAGGGGUAAACCGAGCCUCCGAGCGGCGAGGAGGUUCGAACUCGUCUGACUCUCCAGCGCAUGCAGGCCUCUUUAACCGAGUGGACGAUCCUUCUUUAGGGUGGGGACCCAGGAAUCUCUUCGGGGAACUCUCUAUCAAGGGUGCCCCUCCCCCAGGGGGCAAGCCCUUGCUCAGCUGACAGAUUUCCCAAGAAGCGGCAGGAGCAAGCCUGGGCGCAUGCAAGGCUCAGCGAAACCAUGGGGUGAGGACUCGAGGCGUCAUCACGUCCGGGGCCCUGCAUCGCCCCCCCCCCCCCCCAGCCAAUGCCGCGUCCGCCCCCGCGGCCGCGCUUCUCCUUUCGGCCUCCGCAGCGGGGGCGUCUUUACAGCCUCCAGAAAAAGGAAGGAAGCCUUGUGGUCCUGACGCGCCGAGGUCCCCGCUGCCGUCCCCAGGCCCCUCGGGGAAACUGAGGUAGCACACCUUGAAUGGAGAGGGGGCGCUCGGACCCUUCCUUUCCACAGGGAAACAACUACGCCCCGAAGUGGGGCGAGGAGAGGAGGCGGUCAAACUCCAAGCGCUGCACCUGGCUCUUGAAACUUGAACUCUGGGCGCCAGCGGCCCUGCGGUGUUCAGUGGGUGCCUGCAGUGAUAGGAAUCCUUCCAAGAGCUGGCGACAGGGCAGUGAUGAGGAAAGACAAACAUUUCGUCAUUGUGCAGAGAUGGUUCCAACGUGGGGGGACCGAUAAGAAACAAAAAUAAAAUGUAUGGGUGAGGUGGGAGCCAUGGAGGAGGGACAGCCCCAGCUCCAGUGUUGACAGGCACCCUCCUGAGACAGCAGGAGCUAUGUCCCAGGGCCAGGGAGGACAGGAGGCCAGAGAGGAGGUGACUACUCUAGUCGAGGUGGGUAAUAAUGGGCCCUUGCUCUGGGCAGUGCCAUCGGAGAAGUGAUCUGACAUUCGUUUUGGUGGGAAGGUCACCUGUGCUUGCUGGGACAUGAGGACAGAGCGGAGUUAAGAAUGACUUCUUGGUUCUGGCCUGGUCCCCUGGGAAGACAGAGAGCCAUUUCCUGAAAUGAAGAUGGGGUGGUAAUGGGGGCCAGGGUAGCGAGAGGAGGGUCCGCCUCCUGGUCUCACAUUUCCUUUGUGUUCCCUCUAGGAAAAGGAAAGCGGAGGCUCCCCAGCCCUUCGCUGGAGUUGCCAGGAAGGGCAAGGCUUCCUCCCGGGUGCCAGGCAGUCUUGGGCAGUCCAGUGAGUGGACCCACUACAGACUAGAGGCCGCGGACUCAUGUCCCGCUUUGUGGCCUGGCCCCUGCUCUCCCUUCACUCUGAGCUGUGGCGUGGCCACCCCGCCCUUCCUGGCAGCUUCAGUGAAUUUCUUUUGUCCCCGAGCAUUCUGAACAUGCUGUUCCUCUAGCCCAGACUUUCCUUCCCACCGCUUUUACAGGAGGUUCUCAGAGCAUUUCAUCCACAAGGUUGUGCCAGAAGGAGGAGCAGAUUGGGGUUUGGAUCCAGGCUCUGACAACUUAGCGGCUGUUUUAGUGGACGUUCUCCCCAAAAGCAGCCCCUGGAACCAAGCUUGGUGUUCUGGCAGUUUAUACCUGGGAUGGGGGUUUGGGGGGGAGUCGGGGAAGGCAACCAGGAAAGCUGUGGGUUCGUAUGGAGACCUCCUUUGGGGGCCACUGUGGUUCAGUCUCACUGAGGAACCCCUUGGAGAUGGGCGGACUUUUUACGCCAAUCCUGUGCCUCGCUGGGUCGAAGCUCCUCCGGGAAUGUCAACUCCCUAAUACUUCAUUACUCCAUAUGUACAUUUCUAUUCAUUUAUUUAAACAGUUUUGGUCACCGGGCUGUCCAUCGCAUCCCAGGACCUAUUUACCUUGUAACCGGAAGUUUGUACCCUUUGACCCGCUUCACCCAUUCCCCCCACCCCCUGCCUCUGGCAACCACCAGUCUGUUCUGUAGGUAAAUUCAGGGGUUUCUUUUGUUUUGCUUUAAAGUUGAUUUAUUUAUUUUGAGAGAGAGGGCGGGGCAUAGAGAAAGAAUUCCAGGCAGGCUCCACACUGAGAACAGAGCCCGAUGCAGGAUCACACAAAGCACGAGAUCCUGACCAGAGCUGAAAUGGGACGCUUAACCAGCUGAGCCACACAGAGAGAGAGAGUGUGAGCUGGGGAAGGGGCAAGAGAGAGGGAGACACAGAAUCCGAAG